GGGCCCGCACAAGCGGUGGAGUAUGUGGUUUAAUUCGAUGAUACGCGAGGAACCUUACCUGGGCUCGAACGCUACUAGACCGAUCCUGAAAGGGGUCUUCUCUUCGGAGCUGGUAGUGAGGUGCUGCAUGGUUGUCGUCAGCUCGUGCCGUGAGUGUUGGGUUAAGUCCCGCAACGAGCGCAACCCCUAUCUUUAGUUGCCAACACGUAAUGGUGGGGACUCUAGAGAGACUGCCUCCGUAAGGAGUGAGGAAGGAAGGGACGACGUCAAAUCAUCAUGGCCUUUAUGCCAGGGCUACACACGUGCUACAAUGGUAGGUACAGAGGGGAGCAAAGUCGUGAGGCUAAG
rnacentral:rRNA from 1 species